rnacentral:misc_RNA from 1 species
AGCAGCCGCGGUAAUUCCAGCUCCAAUAGCGUAUAUUAAAGUUGUUGCAGUUAAAAAGCUCGUAGUUGAAUUUCGGGAUCAGUUGGUCGGUCGUGCCUCGGUACGUACUGGUCAAAUUGAUUCCUACCUUCUGACGAACCACGAUGUCAUUAAUUUGGUGUCGCGGGAAAUCAGGACUGUUACUUUGAAAAAUUAGAGUGUUUAAAGCAGGCUCGCGCUUGAAUACAUUAGCAUGGAAUAAUGAAAUAGGACGUUUGAUUCUAUUUUGUUGGUUUCUAGGAUCGACGUAAUGAUUAAUGGGGAUAGUUGGGGGCAUUAGUAUUCAAUUGUCAGAGGUGAAAUUCUUGGAUUUAUUGAAGACUAACUACUGCGAAAGCAUUUGCCAAGGAUGUUUUCAUUAAUCAAGAACGAAAGUUAGGGGAUCGAAGACGAUCAGAUACCGUCGUAGUCUUAACCAUAAACUAUGCCGACUAGGGAUCGGAUGAUGUUAAUUUUUAAUGACUCAUUCGGCGCCUUACGG